rnacentral:rRNA from 1 species
AGUGAACGCUGGCGGUAGGCCUAACACAUGCAAGUCGAACGGCAGCACAGUAAGAGCUUGCUCUUACGGGUGGCGAGUGGCGGACGGGUGAGGAAUACAUCGGCAUCUACUUUUUCGUGGGGGAUAACGUAGGGAAACUUACGCUACUACCGCAUACGACCUACGGGUGAAAGCAGGAGAUCUUCGGACCUUGCGCGAUUGAAUGAGCCGAUGUCGGAUUAGCUAGUUGGCGGGGUAAAGGCCCACCAAGGCGACGAUCCGUAGCUGGUCUGAGAGGAUGAUCAGCCACACUGGAACUGAGACACGGUCCAGACUCCUACGGGAGGCAGCAGUGGGGAAUAUUGGACAAUGGGCGCAAGCCUGAUCCAGCAAUACCGCGUGGGUGAAGAAGGCCUUCGGGUUGUAAAGCCCUUUUGUUGGGAAAGAAAAGCAGCAGGUUAAUACCCCGCUGUUCUGACGGUACCCAAAGAAUAAGCACCGGCUAACUUCGUG